rnacentral:lncRNA from 1 species
AAUGGAAGAAGUGUAGGAGGCAAGGCUUUGUGAUGUCAGGCUAUAGAACCCAAACAUUUUCACCUUCCCAAUCCAAUAACACACACACAUGCAUGCAACGGUGGGAGACAAUAUUCUCUCUGUUAGGCUUUUUCAGAGCCUUCCUUCCACUGCCAUGGCCAGGUAUCAAUCAGGCAGCUGACAUAGGAUUCACUCACUUGGCUGAGAACCAACAGAAAAAGGGGCCCCCAUGUUGCCUCAGCUGUUAUGCGGAAAGUCCAGGAAUAUUUAAUGCCUGCAGAGGAAUCUGUUGA